UGUUACAGCGCCAGGGCAGAGGGACACGCUGCAGGUCUGUCUAUAGACUGGUGUUACAGGGCAGAGGGACACGCUGCAGGUCUGUCUACAGACUGGUGUUACAGUGCCAGGGCAGAGGGACCACGCUGCAGGUCUGUCUAUAGACUGGUGUUACAG